UACAGAGGUCUCAAGCGUUGUUCGGAUUCAUUGGGCGUAAAGGGUGCGUAGGCGGCGCGGUGAGUCGGGUGUGAAAUCUCGGAGCUUAACUCCGAAACUGCAUUCGAUACUGCGGUGCUUGAGGACUGGAGAGGAGACUGGAAUUCAUGGUGUAGCAGUGAAAUGCGUAGAGAUCAUGAGGAAGACCAGUGGCGAAGGCGGGUCUCUGGACAGUUCCUGACACUGAGGCACGAAGGCCAGGGGAGCAAACGGG
rnacentral:rRNA from 1 species